ensembl:lncRNA
CAAACACCAACCAAAGCCGAAACCCAGUGAAGCAGGGCUAGUAUCCCACCCGGCCCCCUCCCCUCCACCAGGUGCCAAGAGAGCAGCACCAGUGCCAGACCACUCUACCCCUCCCAUGAGGCCUCGACCAGCUUGACACAGAACAAACACCGCGGGGAGGAGCGUGUCUGCGAAAGCAGAAGAGCAAGAGGUCCUGUCCGAGAGAGGCCUGGCCGAGGCCACGCCCAAGGAAGGAAGGAGCAGAUGCCAAGCAGACAGGCACCUCGGGCCAGGGGGCCGCCCUUCGCCCUCCUCCCCACCGCCGCCACCCCAGAAGCUUGAAGCUGCUUGGCUCCCCCUCCAGAAGAGAGAGGAGCACGGACGCGGACGGAAAAGCCCACGCCCCAGCUCUGGAAGCCGAGCUCCUCCUUGGGGCCGGGCUCUGCCUGCCAGCCCUUCCACGGCCCGUGCCCCGCCUCUGCGGCCCUCCCUCGCCAAGGGGUCGUCUCCUCUGCGCAGCGGCUGCCCACGGGCGCCACGGCCUCCCGGGACGGGGCCCUUCCCGGGCUCCCGCAGGGCCACGGGGACAGCGUGCUCUGAGAGGAACGCGGGCACCUGCCAAGCUCGGCCAGGCCCAGCGCACCGCUCUGGGGCUCGGCGCUCGCAGGGGAGUCCGCUUCCCAAGUCCCCCGGCAGAGGCGCGCGGGCUGCGCCCGACGCCAACACGAGGGGAGCCUUCCGAACCACACGGCCAACACAAGCGUGCUGCGUGCGUUGCGAUCUCAGCGGGAAAACCCCGGGACGGCUGGGCUGAGGAGGGCACGCCCCGCGCCCGGCUCCAACGCCGCCCCGGGACACCACGGGACCGCCUCCCCGGCAACCCGGGGGAAGGCCUCUGCUGGGACUCGGUCCUGCAGGACCUUCCUGACCCUCACUCUUCCCUCCUUCAGGGCCCCCGUCCACCGCCGCCCGCACGCAGCCCAGCUCUGGCCAUUCAGCAGAUCCUCACCCAAGCUAGCGCGGGAGGGACCCGGGAGGGCACGCCGGCCAGCACAGGCGGCAGCGGCAGGAACUCCGCCGUCGCCCCCCCCCCCCCCCCGGGCGUAGCCCACCGCACGUGGCACGUGGCACACAGCACCCGCACCCGAGGGCAACUGGGAGGGGUGGCCUCCGGCGUUUCUCGCCUGGGAGGACGACGGCAGACGUCCCCGGCCGGCUCCCCCCACCGAGCCACACCAGGAGAGGAGCCAAGGCGCCACGGCCAGAGCAACGCCACGUCUAGGAGUUCGGGCCGGAGUCGGCCAGGCCGUGCCAGGAGACCUCAGCGUGGGGUUUAAGUGUCAGGCUCCGAGUGGCAGCGCCCGAAACGCGGCGGCGGGAGAGCCCUGCCGUCCUCAGCCCGGGAGCACCGGGGGCCUCUGGGGGCGCCAGCAACGGAAACAACAGCCUUUUCUUCUGGCUGCACCUGGGCUCCUGCCCACUGGCCAAGAGAAAGAAGUGGAGUCAAUGUUUUGAUCACUACAUCUGGCAUCAAAGGUCCCCUUCAUCCCCUUGGGAACUCCUGAAGCUAUCACUCUCCCUUAGGCCAAUUAUUCACCCAGGCCAGAA